UACGUAGGGGCGAGCGUUGUCCGGAAUGACUGGGCGUAAAGGGCGCGUAGGCGGUUCUUUAAGUUAGGAGUGAAAGUCCAGCUUUUAAGGUUGGAAUUGCUUUUAAUACUGUAAGACUUGAGUGCAGGAGAGGAGAGUGGAAUUCCUAGUGUAGCGGUGAAAUGCGUAGAUAUUAGGAGGAACACCAGUUGCGAAGGCGGCUCUCUGGACUGUAACUGACGCUGAGGCACGAAAGCGUGGGGAGCAAACAGGAUUAGAUACCCCGGUAGUCCCUGAG
rnacentral:rRNA from 1 species